rnacentral:rRNA from 1 species
ACGAACGCUGGCGGCGUGCUUAACACAUGCAAGUCGAGCGGAAAGGCCCUGCUUUUGUGGGGUGCUCGAGUGGCGAACGGGUGAGUAACACGUGAGUAACCUGCCCUUGACUUUGGGAUAACUUCAGGAAACUGGGGCUAAUACCGGAUAGGAGCUCCUGCUGCAUGGUGGGGGUUGGAAAGUUUCGGCGGUUGGGGAUGGACUCGCGGCUUAUCAGCUUGUUGGUGGGGUAGUGGCUUACCAAGGCUUUGACGGGUAGCCGGCCUGAGAGGGUGACCGGCCACAUUGGGACUGAGAUACGGCCCAGACUCCUACGGGAGGCAGCAGUGGGGAAUAUUGCACAAUGGGCGGAAGCCUGAUGCAGCGACGCCGCGUGCGGGAUGACGGCCUUCGGGUUGUAAACCGCUUUCGCCUGUGACGAAGCGUGAGUGACGGUAAUGGGUAAAGAAGCACCGGCUAACUACGUG